GAUGAACGCUGGCUACAGGCUUAACACAUGCAAGUCGAGGGGAAACGCCGGGGAAGCUUGCUUCCCCGGGCGUCGACCGGCGCACGGGUGAGUAACGCGUAUCCAACCUGCCUCUGACUGAGGGAUAACCCGUCGAAAGUCGGCCUAAUACCUCAUGGCAUCGUCUGCGGGCAUCCAACGACGAUUAAAGAUUUCAUCGGUCAGGGAUGGGGAUGCGUCUGAUUAGCUUGUUGGCGGGGUAACGGCCCACCAAGGCUACGAUCAGUAGGGGUUCUGAGAGGAAGGUCCCCCACAUUGGAACUGAGACACGGUCCAAACUCCUACGGGAGGCAGCAGUGAGGAAUAUUGGUAAAUGGGCGGGAGCCUGAACCAGCCAAGUAGCGUGCAGGAUGACGGCCCUAUGGGUUGUAAACUGCUUUUAUGCGGGGAUAAAGUGAGGGACGUGUCCUUCAUUGCAGGUACCGCAUGAAUAAGGACCGGCUAAUUCCGUG
rnacentral:rRNA from 1 species